GAGAGAAAAAUCAAGAGAGAAGAAAACACUACAAAGAUAUCCCAAAACAUACACAAUUACGUAAUGAAACGCAACAGACCUUCUUAAGGGUUAUUGGCAAGUUCCUCUUACCCCUCGUGCAGCUGAGAUCUCUGCCUCUGCUACACCUGAUAAUUUCCUCCAGUAAACUGUUAUGGAGUUUGGCCUCCAUAAUGCCCCAGCAACCUUCCAGAGGCUGAUGAAUAGAGUGUUGGGGGAUGUUCCGAACUGUGCAGCAUACUUGGAUGAGGUUGAUUCCAGGCCAGAGUUUCCAGCCUGCCCUAGCCUGCCCCCAUGUUGAUGACAUCAUAACUAAUCGACUAUAUAAAGAGGAAGCAGCAGCAGCAGCAGAAGAAGAAGGAGGAGGAGGGGGUGUUAGGCGUUUUGGCAACACUGGACUGUGACCGGAGCACUGAUGGCAGGAAAUGACGGUAGCUCUGGUAGUAAUCCGGAAAUGGAAGAUGAGUGCAGGAGGGAAUGAAUGGUGGAAAAGUUGUGAAUCGGAAAAGGGAGAAAACUAAGAGUCAAGGAUCAUUCUCAGACUCCUCCAUUUCAAGCUGGCUCAAAUAACAGCUUUGUAACAUUGAGUUUAGCUGCGAAAGAUACCUCACAUGCUCAAUCUAUCAAACAUAAGCCAAAGUCUCAAAAAGCUGACGGUAUGCACUUACCUGCAACAAACCUAUCUAAUCUGUCUGAAGGUGUGAUUAAGUCCGAAGUUGGGAGGACCAGCCCCAUCAUGAAUGUACCUGUUAAGCCUUAUGUCCCUCAAUACAUCCCUCCAUCUAGCACUCCACAUCAGGUAGAGUCUCUGGCACAGUAUUUAGCCAGAGGAGACCUUGUUAGUUCAGGACUUUACCUAUUUGAUGAUAAGCCUGAAAACUAUCGGCCAUGGUAUUCCUCAUUCACCAGUGCAGCUCGUGAAGUUCACCUCACAGCAACCCAGGAACUGGACCUCAUGACUAACAAAGGGACAGGACUGUGAUCAACGGGUGAUGGAAACAAGAAAGGUGAAGAGUGCCACUGCCAAUGCAACCAUUGAGGUUCAGCACUAUCUCAGUGAACCCAACAUCCCCCGCUCUGAAAAUCCACUUCAGUAUUGGCACAAGCACAUUUACCCCCAUUUAUACAUGCUGGCCCUGGGCUUUUUGUGUUCUCCUGCCUCUUCUGUGCCCUGUGAACGGGUAUUUUCUAAGGCUGGUAAAGUGGUCAGCAAG